CAGGUCAGAUUGGAUAAUAAAUCAAAAGACAUAAAUUAAAUUCAUAUAACAAUUGGAUCAGGUUGGAUCAGUUAGAACUUAAUAAACUCAAAUCUGAUUCAAAAAAAAAAAUCAAACGGACCUAAAUUUGAAACCUGACAGAUCCUUACAUUAGAUUGGAUCCGAUGAAAUUGGAUGGGAUCAUGAGCUACAGCAGAUCGGAUCAAAACAUAAAUCAACCCGACCUAUUUGGAGCCGUACUAGUACUACUACUAGGACAGUAAAAGUGGAUUGGAUCAAAACAUAAAUCAAUCUGGUACAGUAAAAAUGUCGCGGUACAUCAACCGCUUGUCGCAUUUGUCUUGUCGCCCGCUGUUCGCCUCCCUUCAUAUAAUACACAGUCUUUGUUACUCCCCAAUACCGUAACAAAACCAAAAUUCCGGUAAGUCAGGGAUUUCUGGUUGCCCCGUUCUAAGAUCAUCGUUCGCCUCCCUUCAUAUAAUACACAGUCUUUGUUACUCCCCCAUACCGUAACAAAACCAAAAUUCCGGUAAGUCAGGGAUUUCUGGUUGCCCCGUUCUAAGAUCAUCCGGUAGGUCCAUGCCUCAGCAAGAAGCGGUCUGAUGCUAGCAAAACACCAUUCCCUGCCAUCGCAUACAUUGUCACAACUUUCCAGUAUUUCCAGAAACAAAAACCAGCGCCCCGCUGGGGAAAACGAUCAUCUCUGAUUACUUCCAUAUCACAACUUUAUCCUGCGCGCACAUUAUAUCGGCCACGUUCAUCUUGAAGACCAGAAUAUAUAUUUUUAUCUCAUCAUCUGACUUGAAGAUUAGAAUUUAUAUGAAUUUCAAGUCGAACAGUAGCAGUGGAGUUCGAUAUGAACCACAAGAUGCGAUCCAUCUCACCCUGCAAGACCACCGUGCUAGAGAAAAUAAACGGACUUAAUCUU